rnacentral:rRNA from 1 species
CCUACGGGUGGCUGCAGUGGGGAAUAUUGGACAAUGGGGGCAACCUGAUCCAGCCAUGCCGCGUGUGUGAAGAAGGCCCUCGGGUUGUAAAGCACUUUCAGUGAGGAAGAACGCCUGGUGGUUAAUACCCAUCAGGAAAGACAUCACUCACAGAAGAAGCACCGGCUAACUCCGUGCCAGCAGCCGCGGUAAUACGGAGGGUGCGAGCGUUAAUCGGAAUUACUGGGCGUAAAGCGCGCGUAGGUGGCUUGAUAAGCCGGUUGUGAAAGCCCCGGGCUCAACCUGGGAACGGCAUCCGGAACUGUCAAGCUAGAGCGCAGGAGAGGAAGGUAGAAUUCCCGGUGUAGCGGUGAAAUGCGUAGAGAUCGGGAGGAAUACCAGUGGCGAAGGCGGCCUUCUGGACUGACACUGACACUGAGGUGCGAAAGCGUGGGUAGCAAACAGGAUUAGAUACCCUUGUAGUC